rnacentral:rRNA from 1 species
GACGAACGCUGGCGGCGUGCUUAACACAUGCAAGUCGGACGGAAAGGCCCUGCUUUUGUGGGGUGCUCGAGUGGCGAACGGGUGAGUAACACGUGAGUAACCUGCCCUUGACUUUGGGAUAACUUCAGGAAACUGGGGCUAAUACCGGAUAGGAGCUCCUGCUGCAUGGGGGGGGUUGGAAAGUUUCGGCGGUUGGGGAUGGACUCGCGGCUUAUCAGCUUGUUGGUGGGGUAGUGGCUUACCAAGGCUUUGACGGGUAGCCGGCCUGAGAGGGUGACCGGCCACAUUGGGACUGAGAUACGGCCCAGACUCCUACGGGAGGCAGCAGUGGGGAAUAUUGCACAAUGGGCGGAAGCCUGAUGCAGCAACGCCGCGUGCGGGAUGACGGCCUUCGGGUUGUAAACCGCUUUCGCCUGUGACGAAGCGUGAGUGACGGUAAUGGGUAAAGAAGCACCGGCUAACUACGUG